GUACGCUGGCGGCACGCCUAACACAUGCAAGUCGAACGCAGUAGCAAUACUGAGUGGCAAACGGGUGAGUAUAAUGUGGGUAUCUGCCUUUUGGUUUGGAAUAACACGGGGAAACUUGUGCUAAUACCGAAUAAGCCCUUACGGGGAAAGUUUUAACGCCGAAAGAUGAGCCCGCACUUGAUUAGCUAGUUGGUAAGGUAAAAGCUUACCAAGGCAACGAUCAAUAGCUGUUCUUAGAGGAAGACCAGCCACAUUGGGACUGAGACACGGCCCAGACUCCUACGGGAGGCAGCAGUGGGGAAUCUUGCACAAUGGGGGAAACCCUGAUGCAGCGAUGCCGCGUGAGUGAAGAAGGCCCUUGGGUUGUAAAACUCUUUCGUCGGGGAAGAAAAUGACUGUACCCGAAUAAGAAGGUCCGGCUAA
rnacentral:rRNA from 1 species